UGCAACUGAUGAUGAAAUCAAGGCUUGUUUAUCAAAAUAUUUGUAGUUUCCUCCUAAGAGCUUUGCCCAGGCUUGAGAGCUAAUGCUGCUAGAUUUUUUCUUGGAUGUCUAAUGCA